CCCUUAGAUGUUCUGGGCCGCACGCGUGCUACACUGAACGGUUCAAUGGGUAAGGUAGUGCGAAAGCAUGACCUAAUCUCGAAAUCCGUUCGUGCUGGGGAUAGAAGCUUGCAAUUAUCCUUCUUGAACGAGGAAUACCUUGUAAGCGUGAGUCAUCAUCUCACGCUGAAUACGUCCCAGCCCUUUGUACACACCGCCCGUCGCUCCUACCGAUUGAGUGUUCCGGUGAGGCUUUGGGAGAAUGGCCUCAACAUGAGUUUAUCGUGUUUUGCCGUUUGAACUUAGUCAAACCUUAUCACUUAGAGGAAGGAGAAGUCGUAACA
rnacentral:rRNA from 1 species